CUGCUUUGCGCCAUCUGUGCACCUGUCUGCCUUGCAUUCCCAAACCUACAUAUUGCCCUUUGCACCCAUUACCUCACAUUGUGAGCUUCUAGAGGUGAGUCUUGGGUGGGGUCAGGUCCGUAAAGUAUAGAAUUUUUUCCCGGGCCUGAUCAUGUCCAGUAUUUCAUCCUAACUCAUUUUGAGUCCUUCUCCUACACCUUUACAUGGACCCCGGUCUGAUGGGGACAUAAAUAUCACCACACUGAUACCGAGCUCCAUGGGGGGACUAUCUUGUUCCGUCAUAGAGGGCGUGGGCAUUCCACCCUGAGCUUGUCUCUGACUUCUUUUCCCAUAGGC